AACACAUGCAAGUCGAGCGGUAACAGGUGUAGCAAUACAUGCUGACGAGCGGCGAACGGGUGAGUAAUGUUUCGGAAUCUGCCCAAUGGUGGGGAAUAACCAGCCGAAAGGUUGGCUAAUACCGCAUAAGUCCUACGGGAGAAAGCGGGGGAUCGCAAGACCUCGCGCCGAUGGAUGAGCCGAAACCGGAUUAGCUAGUUGGUAGGGUAACGGCCUACCAAGGCGACGAUCCGUAGCUGGUCUGAGAGGACGACCAGCCACACUGGGACUGAGACACGGCCCAGACUCCUACGGGAGGCAGCAGUGGGGAAUAUUGGACAAUGGGGGAAACCCUGAUCCAGCGACGCCGCGUGUGUGAAGAAGGCCUGCGGGUUGUAAAGCACUUUUAGUGGGGAUGAAAAGCUCAGGGCUAAUACCGCUGAGUCUUGACCUAACCCAAAGAAAAAGCACCGGCUAACUCUGUGCCAGCAGCCGCGGUAAUACAGAGGGUGCAAGCGUUAAUCGGAAUUACUGGGCGUAAAGCGUGCGUANACGGUAGCGUAAGUCGGGUGUGAAAGCCCC
rnacentral:rRNA from 1 species